AUUUCCUGCUCGGAAAAAAUUUGACACCUCGGUCGGAGUCUCUAAUGAUUUAUAACAAAGAAUCAAAAGAAACGGUGAACAAUAGGCUGUGCAGAGAGUGAGCUGCAAUCCAGCACUGAGGCUGCUCUCUGAUAUUGUGCAAACAUGUAC
ensembl:ncRNA C14F11.28 ncRNA